UAGGGAAUCUUCCACAAUGGGCGCAAGCCUGAUGGAGCAACGCCGCGUGUGUGAUGAAGGGUUUCGGCGUCGUAAAACACUGUUGUAGAGAAGAAUGACAUUGAGAGUAACUGUUCAAUGUGUGACGGUAUCUUACCAGAAAGGAACGGCUAAAUACGUGCGAG
rnacentral:rRNA from 1 species